rnacentral:ncRNA from 1 species
UGACCUCGGAUCAGACGUGAUUACCCGCUGAAUUUAAGCAUAUUAUUAAGCGGAGGAAAAGAAACUAACAAGGAUUCCCCUAGUAACGGCGAGUGAACGGGGAAGAGCCCAACACCGAAUCCCUUGGCGCAAGUCAACGGGAAAUGUGUGUUAAGGUAGCCCUUCGUGUCAGUCUAGGCGUCUCAAGUCCACCUGAUUGUGGCUCAAGCCCAGAGAGGGUGUAAG